UCCCUAGAGGCUUAGUGGUAAAGAAUCUGCCUGCCAGUGUAGAAGACACAGGUUCGAUUCCUGGUCUGGGAU
rnacentral:tRNA from 1 species